rnacentral:rRNA from 1 species
UAGGGAAUCUUCGGCAAUGGGGGGAACCCUGACAGAGCAACGACGCGUGAGUGAAGAAGGUUUUCGGAUCGUAAAGCUCUGUUGUUAAGGAAGAACGAGUGUGAGAAUGGAAAGUUCAUACUGUGACGGUACUUAACCAGAAAGGGACGGCUAACUACGUGCCAGCAGCCGCGGUAAUACGUAGGUCGCGAGCGUUGUCCGGAUUUAUUGGGCGUAAAGCGAGCGCAGGCGGUUAGGUAAGUCUGAAGUUAAAGGCAGUGGCUCAACCAUUGUAGGCUUUGGAAACUGUUUAACUUGAGUGCAGAAGGGGAGAGUGGACUUCCAUGUGUAGCGGUGAACUGCGUAGAUAUAUGGAGGAACGCCGGUGGCGAAAGCGGCUCUCUGGUCUGUAACUGACGCUGAGGCUCGAAAGCGUGGGGAGCGAACAGG